GAUGAAGAACGUAGCGAAAUGCGAUAAGUAAUGUGAAUUGCAGAAUUCAGUGAAUCAUCGAAUCUUUGAACGCACAUUGCGCCUCCUGGCAUUCCGGGAGGCAUGCCUGUUCGAGCGUCAUCAAAUCCUCUCAAGCUCAUGUUUAUUCAUGACUUGGUAUUGGAGCUGGAGUGGACAUAGGCCAUUCCUAUCCGAAUUCCAAUGGCAAAGUUGUCUGCAUCGAUAAGCGUAGUGAUCAACAUUAUGUUUCGCUGUGAGGUAGAUAAUCUUCCGCCGUUAACCACCCCCAAUUUUAAGUGUUUGACCUCGGAUCAGGUAGGGAUACCCGCUGAACUUAAGCAUAUCAAUAAGCGGAGGA
rnacentral:misc_RNA from 1 species